UGUUCUCUAAAUAGGGACUUGUAUGAAUGGCCACACGAGGGUUUUACUGUCUCUUACUUCCAAUCAGUGAAAUUGACCUUCCCGUGAAGAGGCGGGAAUAUAUUAAUAAGACGAGAAGACCCUAUGGAGCUUUAACUACUUAGCCCAAAAGAAACAAAUUUCAUUACUAAGGAAACAACAACACUCUUUAUGGGCUAACAGCUUUGGUUGGGGUGACCUCGGAGAACAAGAAAUCCUCCGAGCGAUUUUAAAGACUAGACCUACAAGUCGAAUCACACAAUCGUUUAUUGAUCCAAAAAAAUUGAUCAACGGAACAAGUUACCCUAGGGAUAACAGCGCAAUCCUAUUCAAGAGUCCAUAUCGACAAUAGGGUUUACGACCUCGAUGUUGGAUCAGGACAUCCCGAUGGUGCAACCGCUAUCAAAGGUUCGUUUGUUCAACGAUUAAAGU
rnacentral:rRNA from 1 species